rnacentral:other from 2 species
GGCGUUCUGGGCUUCCCGGCAGGAAUAACACUUCCCCGGGGCCUUAUUGAUCCUUAGGGAGCUGUCCCUGGCCGGGCCCGUGGGCUCGGACAUAUGGCGCCCACCUACUUUGUAGGCACCCGGGAUCAACCUUUCCACCGGUUGUCUGGAUCGCCG